rnacentral:rRNA from 1 species
GCCAGGCUGUCUCCACCCGAGACUCAGUGAAAUUGAACUCGCUGUGAAGAUGCAGUGUACCCGCGGCAAGACGGAAAGACCCCGUGAACCUUUACUAUAGCUUGACACUGAACAUUGAGCCUUGAUGUGUAGGAUAGGUGGGAGGCUUUGAAGUGUGGACGCCAGUCUGCAUGGAGCCGGCCUUGAAAUACCACCCUUUAAUGUUUGAUGUUCUAACGUGGACCCGUGAUCCGGGUUGCGGACAGUGUCUGGUGGGUAGUUUGACUGGGGCGGUCUCCUCCUAAAGAGUAACGGAGGAGCACGAAGGUUGGCUAAUCCUGGUCGGACAUCAGGAGGUUAGUGCAAUGGCAUAAGCCAGCUUGACUGCGAGCGUGACGGCGCGAGCAGGUGCGAAAGCAGGUCAUAGUGAUCCGGUGGUUCUGAAUGGAAGGGCCAUCGCUCAACGGAUAAAAGGUACUCCGGGGAUAACAGGCUGAUACCGCCCAAGAGUUCAUAUCGACGGCGGUGUUUGGCACCUCGAUGUCGGCUCAUCACAUCCUGGGGCUGAAGUAGGUCCCAAGGGUAUGGCUGUUCGCCAUUUAAAGUGGUACGCGAGCUGGGUUUAGAACGUCGUGAGACAGUUCGGUCCCUAUCUGCCGUGGGCGCUGGAGAACUGAGGGGGGCUGCUCCUAGUACGAGAGGACCGGAGUGGACGCAUCACUGGUGUUCGGGUUGUCAUGCCAAUGGCACUGCCCGGUAGCUAAAUGCGGAAGAGAUAAGUGCUGAAAGCAUCUAAGCACGAAACUUGCCCCGAGAUGAGUUCUCCCUGAGACUUA